UCCAGACUUUGAUCAUGGCUCAGAACGAACGUUGGCGGCGUGGAUUAGGCAUGCAAGUUGAGCGUACUCCGCAAGGAGAAGCAGCGUAAGGGGCAGUAAGGCAUGGGUACCUACCUCGGGUUCGGGUAUAGCCUGUAGAGAUACAGGGUAAUCCCCGAUGAUGUCGUAAGACCAAAGCUCCGGCGACCGGAGAGGGGCCCAUGUGAUAUUAGCUAGUUGGUGGGGUAACGGCCCACCAAGGCGAAGAUGUCUAGCGGGUGUGAGAGCACGACCCGCGCCACUGGCACUGAGACACUGGCCAGACACCUACGGGUGGCUGCAGUCGAGGAUCUUCGGCAAUGGGCGCAAGCCUGACCGAGCGACGCCGCGUGUGCGACGAAGGCCUUCGGGUUGAAAGCACUGUCGAGGGGGAGAAAACCGCAAGGUUGAUCUAUCCCUGGAGGAAGCCGGGCUAAGUUUCGUGCCCAGCAAGCCGCGGUAGACGAACCGUGCGAACGUUGUUCGGAAUCACUGGGCUUAAAGGGCGCGUAGGCGGGCUGUCAAGUCCGGGGUGAAAUCCUCCCGCUCAACGGGAGAACGGCCUCGGAUACUGACGAUCUCGAGGGGGAUAGGGGCACGCGGAACUGUGGGUGGAGCGGUGAAAUGCGUUGAUAUCCAUAGGAACUCCGGUGGCGAAGGCGGCGUGCUGGAUCCCUUCUGACGCUGAGGCGCGAAAGCCAGGGGAGCAAACGGGAUUAGAUACCCCGGUAGUCCUGGCCCUAAACGUUGAGAACUAGGUUGUAGACUAGACAUGGGUUUACAGCCGAAGCAAAAGUGCUAAGUUCUCCGCCUGGGAGUAUGUUGGUUGGCAAGGUUGAAACCUCAAAGGAUUUGGCGGGGGUUCACACAAGCCCGGGGAGCAAGAGGCUUAAUUCGAGGCAACGCGAAGAACCUUAUUCUGGACUUGACAUGUGCGAAAGCGCCUGCAGGUAGAACCCGGAAACGGGAACGAACGGUAUCCAAUCCGGAAGCAGGCACAGGUGCUGCAUGGCUGUCGUCAGCUCGUGUCGUGAGAUGUCGGGUUAAGUCCCAUAACGAGCGAAACCCUUACCCUCAGUUGCUAAUUAUAGGACUCUGGGGGGACUGCCGGUGUUAAACCGGAGGAAGGUGGGGAUGACGUCAAGUCCUCAUGGCCUUUAUGUCCAGGGCUGCACACGUGCUACAAUGGCGUGAACAAAGGGAUGCCAACGCGCGAGCGGGAGCAAACCCCAAAAAACACGCCCCAGUUCAGAUCGGAGGCUGCAACUCGCCUCCGUGAAGCCGGAAUCGCUAGUAAUCGCGGGUCAGCAACACCGCGGUGAAUGUGUUCCUGAGCCUUGUACACACCGCCCGUCAAGCCACGAAAGAGAGGAGCGCCCGAAGUACCUCACGGUCCGAAGGCGAAAGUCUUGAUUGGGACUAAGUCGUAACAAGCUAGCCGUA
rnacentral:rRNA from 1 species